CGGCUCAGUAACACGUGGAUAACCUACCCUCAGAUCUGGGAUAACUCCGGGAAACUGGAGAUAAUACCGGAUAAUCCGUGAACGCUGGAAUGCCUUACGGUUGAAAGCUUUAGCGUCUGAGGAUGGGUCUGCGGCCGAUUAGGUAGUUGCUGGGGUAACGUCCCAACAAGCCGAUAAUCGGUACGGGUUGUGAGAGCAAGAGCCCGGAGAUGGAUUCUGAGACACGAAUCCAGGUCCUACGGGGCGCAGCAGGCGCGAAAACUUUACACUGCGCGAAAGCGCGAUAAGGGGACCUCGAGUGCGUGCGCAAAGCGUACGCUUUUCAGAUGCCUAAAAAGCAUCUGGAAUAAGGGCCGGGCAAGACCGGUGCCAGCCGCCGCGGUAACACCGGCGGCUCAAGUGGUGGCCGCUAUUAUUGGGCUUAAAGGGUCCGUAGCCGGACCAGUUAGUCCCUUGGGAAAUCUUACGGCUUAACCGUAAGGCUGCCAAUGGAUACUGCUGGUCUUGGGACCGGGAGAGGCAAGAGGUACCUCAGGGGUAGGAGUGAAAUCCUGUAAUCCUUGAGGGACCGCCAGUGGCGAAGGCGUCUUGCUAGAACGGGUCCGACGGU
rnacentral:rRNA from 1 species